rnacentral:rRNA from 1 species
UACGUAGGGCGCAAGCGUUGUCCGGAAUUAUUGGGCGUAAAGAGCUCGUAGGUGGCUUGUCACGUCGGGUGUGAAAGCUUGGGGCUUAACUCCAGGUCUGCAUUCGAUACGGGCUGGCUAGAGGUAGGUAGGGGAGAACGGAACUCCUGGUGUAGCGGUGGAAUGCGCAGAUAUCAGGAAGAACACCGGUGGCGAAGGCGGCAUCCUGGACCAUUACUGACGCUGAGGCGCGAAAGCUAGGGGAGCAAACGGG